AAAGAAUGUUCAUAGUAUGUUUCUUAAACCCUAUUCAAGGGUAGAGCCAGAGCCAAAUUUAAAGAAUUUGAAAGAGAGUUGUUAUGUGAAUUUUUUAUCAGUACAGAUUACUUCACAACUUUUAAUUCGUUGUAGAAGUGUUAUGUAAAGAGAAUACUUAUAUUCUUUCAGCUUAUAUAUAAUUGCUAUUACUUGCUGGGCACUUAAAUGCUCAUCCUUGCUUAAAUUAAAUGUUUUCAGUUAUGUAUGAGCAACCUGAAGGCUCAGGCAUGAACAAAGGAAAAGGAAAGCUGAUCGAAUAAGUGUGUAUUAUGAGUUAAU
rnacentral:lncRNA from 1 species